UUCCUUAUUUCUAUGUCUCUUCCUUACUUCUAUGCAGUUAUUAUAUGAGUAGUGUUAUGGGAAAAAUUGUCUCUUCCUUAUUUCUAUGUCUCUUCCUUACUUCUAUGCAGUUAUUAUAUGAGUUAUGACUUAUGUUCUGCAAUUAAUAUCUUAUGUUUUGUCUUACUGUAUGCAUUUGACAUUUGACCUACAUUGUUCAAUGGUUGUCUCUGCCUGAUAGACUCUCAACUCUAGCUCCCAAACCCAAGGUCAGGGAGUUGUGUCUCUGUCUGUUGAGACUCUGUGCUCCUUUCUCACAGAUAGUUGGACGUCAGCGAUGCAGGUGUGAGAAAGUAAAAAUCUUCACACACACUGCGACAGGGAGGAGAUGGUGCAAGUCAUUUGAUUGGUUUAGAAAGACGUUCCACCGUAGUCGGACAGAGAAGCUAAAAGGCAGAAGCAACUUGAGGAUCGUGGGCUCUUUGCAUCACACCUUCGUGGUGUGUGCACUGAUCUCCCCAGCUGGUUUUUGGUUUGUUGAUGUGCACGAUCAACAUCCAUGCUUUUUAUUUGCUUUCCCCAUUAUUUUUAUUUUCUUUAUUAUUUCAAUAAAUCGCACAAAAGGACAACUCUCUCUCAUCUACUUCUUUAUGGAAAAUUUCCACCACAGAAAUUGGCGUCACGAACAGGAUCCCGCUGCAGGUCGUCUGGACGGUGUGACCAGGGACGAUAGUCCUGAGGACUAGGGUCGCUCAGCCUCCAAACCUCUACAGACAUUCAGAGCUGGGAGGACUGCUCACCCGUCUGGAUCGCCUCUGACGAGAUCCACGAACUCAGAUUCAAACUCAAAUCCUAAUUUGGCUCGGCUCGGUGAGAGAGAUUCCUUUGAUUUGGGAAAAACAAAAAGAUUGGAACUUUUAUUUUUAAUUUAGCUGAAACAUUUCAAUUGGUUGAAAAAAAAGGAAAGAAAUCUUCUAUUUGGUUGAAACACUAAAUUUGAUUAGGAAAAUUAAUUAGAUCGAGAAGAAAAAAAAAAAUCCCAAUAAUACGUGUUCUUAAUUAGGUGAAAGUCUGCUCUGGGUGGUGAGACGUCGGUUGCUAAGGGUUGGCUCGUGGAACCGAGCUUCCGUCUGUACUGAGGAUACAGACAUGUUUUUUUGAUCUGUGCGUGGUCCACAUGUGGGGGACUGAGUAUAAAAGACGGCUUCUGAAAGAGGGAGCGCGUUCGCAGAGUGAAGUAUUUUCAAGAUACGAGGGACCCGGGCCUAGAGGGGCCUAACGUUGAGGAAAUACUUCGUGAAAGGCUCUGUCGCCAGAUCAGGUUGGUUCCCUUUUUACGGAGACGUCCGAUAAAAAGGCAUUUUGGGAAGGUUCCGGCCGGAACACACAAAAAAUCUAAGGCAGGAAACCGCCGGACUCUGAAAGACGGGUUCGGGGCAAUUUGAGUCUUCACCACCAGACAGAAACCGUACAAAACUAAACGUAAUUAAAGUAAAUAUGGUUAUUAGUGCGUUUCAUGUUUCCAUGAGUGGGAAACUGGUUAUGGGUUCAAAAGGAGAAUCGCUUUGUGUAAGGACAUAUGCACCUUAAAAGAAAAAUUAGAUACAAAAGAAACGAUCUGAAAAAGCAAAACUAUCAAAACUAAAGCCCUAAAAGAAACAAAAGAGUGAUGAGAGUAACAGGAAAAAAAGGAGAUAACAACUCUGGGGAAGAAUUGUUUGCACUCUGCCACACACACACACCACACACACACACACCACACACACACAUAUCAUGCCAAGAGCAAAUGCUCCCAUUGUUUCUGCUCUUUGUCCUAAUGCAGAACUGAGCGCGAUGAGGGUAAAUCCGGAUCUGGACUCCUUUCCCACCAUCAGCAGAAGAACCGAAGGAGAAGAAGCGCCCGACCAACAACCAGAACAGGGUGGAAGCUCUGACACCACAGCAGCUGGAGGACACAGACCACAGCAUGGACGCCUCAGCGACUCUCACAACGUCUGCAGCCAUCACGUUCUGGGCUCAUCAGAUGAACCAGCUACUACAAGCCCUGCACCAGCAUGAAAGGACUGUGUCUGAAGCUUCUGAAGCCGUGAAAGUGUCAUACACGUGUGUGUGUCUGUCAGACACCUGCUUAUGACAAUCAGCAAAGGAAAACAAGGACAGAGCAACAGCAGAGAAGACGUGCUCUAACACAGACACUGGUUGAAACAACAGGAGAGGCUUCAGAUGUGAUCGGCCCAAUAGAGCUGCAUGUGAGGAUCCAGGAAAGGUCUGUCAUCGAGGAACAACUGUCCCAUCGAAAGGCUUCACCCGCUGGCGCUCACAUCAGACUGAUGGUUGGGGAAGGAGGAAGGUGACGGUUCCUUUUCACGUGACGUACAAGACGUUCCACACGUCCCUCUGUGAAAACAUGAUGGAGACAGACGCAGGACGUGGGUCCUUUCGUGAACAGAUGUCAACGGGGUGGAGACUGGUGAACGACUUCUGACCCCAUGUGACGUAUUUACCCACAUUACAUGCUUUUGUUUUUAUUUUUAUUUUUCAGAGGACGCUCUGAGCCAACACUCAGCCUUACAGGAAGCCCUGUUUCCCUGUGGCUCACACACAGACAUGAUGUAGGUUUGAUCAGAGGAUGUGAACCAGUGGUCAUCACACCUAAAUCUGACCACAGACCAUGUAAACAACACCACCCUCUUAAAGGAGCCAAAGAUGGUGUUACUGCAGACACCACUAAGCUACUGAAACAUUGGAUGUUACAGGCCACAAAGAGCCUGUCUAAAUUACAGUUUGUUCAGACAAAGGUUAUUUUUCUGGGUCAUUGUAAUUACAGCUGAUGGCAAAUCCAUCUCACCCAACAGAGUUAAAGCAAUUUGAAACCUGCCUAAACCGUGCACGUAAAAACAGCUGAUGUCUUUUCUAGGUCUUUGUUCUUAUUGUAGGACCUUCAGUCCUAACUUUACUGUCUUUGAGGCCCCACUCAGGGUUCUGAUGCAGACAUCUUCAUCGUCCACUUCUUGUCUCACGUGGACGUCUGAGGCUGAACAACGUUCACUGACCUCAUGCUUGCUCUUCAGGCUCCUACUUUGGGUCUUCCUGAUCUGACCCUACGCGACCUUUCACUCAAACAGUGGAUGAGAAAUCAGGUUGUACGACUUCUGUUCUUUUGUCCUCAUACUGUCUUUGAUUCUUUUGGAAAACAUCACAUCUUUCUACAGCCCGAUGGCUUAGAUGCAACACCACCUUGCUCAACAUGCUGAACAUUACUAUCAAGAGUCCGUCUUAAAGUCUGGCGUCUUAAAGACACUGCUCUGCUCAGGCUGCAGAGUUGAUUGCGUUGACUGAAGCUGGUAAACUAGCAGAAGGAGAGACUGUUACCAUCUACACAGACUCCACAGAUGCUUGUGACACUUUGGUUCUCUGUGGAAGCAUAGGAAGCUUUUGAAGUCUGAUUGCAAACCUAUCUUACAUCAUGAUUAGGUUCCGCUUUGCUGGACGCUGUCCUGCCACCUACAGCUAAUGCUGUUUUUACAACAUCAUAGACAACCUUGUUUCUGCCGUCAUGCAGCUGCAGACGCUGCUGCGAAGGUCGCUGCCCGACAACCCCUCCCUCUCCUGAUCCUCGUUUCCUCUCUUCAACUCUCUCUAUCCUUUCCUUUCUCUCUCCCUGUGCUUUAAACAUUUUCUACCUCACAGGAACGCAGACUCUGGCUGACGAAUGGUUCCACCUGUAGCCAUGGAGUCUGGUUUGGGCCUGACGACAAACCGUGCCGCCCAAACACUUUUUCCGCACAAUUCAGAUUUCCCAACAGGUGAAAACAGGCGACAGGACCAUUACACCAUCCAACCAGGAGACUGGGCGAUCGUUAAGGAGUUCAGGAGGAAACACUGGAACUCCAAACGGUGGCGAGGCCCCUUCCAGGUCCUUCUGACGACCAACACGGCUGUGAAGAUCGCAGAAAGAGCGACUUGGAUCAACUCCAUCCAGGAAGGUCCCGGAUCCAACAGACGACCCUCCAUCUACAUCUACACCACAC